UACGUAGGGGGCAAGCGUUGUCCGGAUUCAUUGGGCGUAAAGCGCGUGUAGGCGGCCAGGUAGGUCCGGUGUGAAAACUCGAGGCUCAACCUCGAGAGGUCAUCGGAAACCACCUGGCUAGAGUCCGGAAGAGGAGAGUGGAAUUCCCGGUGUAGCGGUGAAAUGCGCAGAUAUCGGGAAGAACACCUAUGGCGAAGGCAGCUCUCUGGGACGGUACUGACGCUGAGACGCGAAAGCGUGGGGAGCGAACAGG
rnacentral:rRNA from 1 species